AUGUUGCUACGAACAGCAGAGCAAGUUCGAGAAAGCGCUCGAGCCCGAGUCAGGCUUAUGAGUGAUUCGCAGUUGGGCCUGAGCCCCGAGGAGAAACUCAAUGCCUUGCGGCAAAAAUUUGCAGCUCGGAAAAUGGCGCAAAGCGAAUCCAAAGGAAGUCUCGCAGCCAGAACGUUGUUCACUGAUGAGCCCAAGUCAAAUCCUACCUCUAUCAACUAUGAUUUCCUCGAAAACGAUAAUAAGGUGAUGGAUGGCAAAGAUCUGAAGCACCGGAAAGAUCGUGAAAGAAGGAAAAGCAUCAUUCAGGCUGUGUCGGAUUUCUUCCACAAGAAGUCUCCUUCUCCCUCACCUUCAAAAACUUCUGAUAAAGUCCCAAAACCAAUCGAUAAGCAAUAAAUUCAUGAAGCUGCGCCUUCACACCCUCAGUCGCGAAAAAUCCAAAGUAAGCACUUUCUUUUAUUCUCUCAAUCCUUCAUAUUCAUGGUUCAUUUUAGAUAGGGAGAGUUUGCUUGGCAUACAAAUACAAAGAAAAAAAAUUACCGUAUUUUUAAACAUAGAAGAAUAACAAAAUCAGUCUUCAGGGGGGCUGAUUAUGGAAAUUGAUAGACAAAGCAAUAGACCGUGAAGAGGAGGGGAAAAUGGGAAGCGAUGGACGAUGAAGAGGACGGGGAAAUCGAGCGAUUCUGUUGAUUGAAAUAGGUGGUUGUUUUAGAGUAGGGGAAAUGGUGGUCCAACAAGAACGUCUCUUGUAGGCUGUUGUUAGUUAGUCUAUUAUUACCAUCUUUGUCCAUUGGAACCACCCACUUCCACCAACAGGACCGCUUCAUUUCUUCUUUGUCUUAAUGGUCGAUCAAUUUCAAUAAUCAGCCUGAAGCAAUAACACUUACAAUUAUAAAUUGAAUGAGAAUCAAAUUAAAAACUAGCUUAUCUUUGUUUGAACUUUUAGCUCAGUGUUGAGCAAAGUGGUGGAUCUUCCUCUAGUAUUUUGAAAAAACAGGAAAAGAAUAAUCAGAGGCAUGACAGUGUGAUGUCCGUGGCCAAAAAAAAGCAUAGGCAAGAGAGGAGGGGCUUGAUUGUACUGCAAUGUUUCUGAGUCCACUGUUAGAAUUUUUUUUUUUUUUUUCCAGUUACAGAUGUAUGAUUUGCAUUAAUAUUUUCAGGAACUCUUCCCUUAAUCACAAGGAAGAUUCGUAAAAAGAUGCAAUAGAAAAUUAAGAAAAUUUGCAACUUUUCAUAAGUGAAGAAAAUAAAUUGUCCCAUGAAAUUUUGCAACAUUGCAGUCUAAUUAAGCCUAUUUAUCUCUCAAAUCAGUUUUAGGCUCUUUUUACGGCACAAAGUGAACUAAGUCGUAUGUAAAUUGUCUUCCUUGAUUAAAAUGAAAAAAAAUAAAAACCAAAACUUAAGAAAGCAAUCCAGACAUUGUAAUUUUAACAUACUCUGUUCCCUAGUAGCUUAAUUAAGAAGCAAAAUUCAUUUUUUUUUUGUUUGCAGUCAGCUGAAAUUUAAAUUCGGAAAAGAGAGUAAGCCAAUUUUUUAUUACGUGCCUGUAGAGAGUAACGUAGACAGUGUUUUUAAACUUAUCCUCUUAUUUUUUCCCUCCUUUUUUACCUGUUUAGUAUUCUUUGUGCUACACCUGACAUGUUCCUUAUACCGGUUUAUAUUCUGAUAAGGUUGUUGAUCGUUCUUAUGUGUACUGAAAUCACUUUCAUAUUAUCUAUAGAUUAUCAUAAUUUUUCGCCAAUUUUUUUUUUUUAUUGGUUGUAUUUUUCUCUUCAAUUUUUAAUAAUCUUUUUUUAAAACAAAUUUUCUGUCAAUCAAAGCGAGAAGUUUACAGAUGAUAUUCCACUACUCUGGUACUUCCUUGACUUAUUUACCAUCCUCUCCUUUCUAAUUUGGACAGUGUGCCUUCAAUUUCUUGUCUCUUUCUAGUAAAAACAGUUUGUUCAUUUUUUAUAGACAUUUGAUCCAGACAGAGUUUGUGUUUUUGCCAUGGCAAUAAAUUGAGUAUAGAACUGAUUUUAUUUAAUCUAAAUUCGGUAACUUGACUUCAAAACCCUUACAUAGUCACCUCUGGCCAAAGUAUCAAAACUCAAAAGUGCCGUUUACGCUUAGACAUAUGUCGCCGGCAUCCGGUAUUGUGUUAAUUUUUCCUUCAAAACUUUUGCUGAUUUUUUCAUAAGAAUUUCAAGGAUCAGUCUUGAUGACAAAAGAAAUAUAAAGUAACAUCUUCAAGUGACUCUGUUCAUUAGUUUUCCUUUAAAAUUGGAUAAGUUUGAGAAUUCUGGCAACUCACUACCUAGAUACAAGUGUCUUGUGUGAUACUUUGGCGUGAAGAUGGCGAUAUCUGUUUUCAUUUUUCCCAGUUAUAUUUGUGAUUAGUUGCAUUUUUUAUUUUUAUUUAUUUGAGACUAUGUUGGUAUCAAUUCAUCGUGUCUGCAUGUAUGAUCGUGAAGCAUGAUAGUUUCAGUUUUCUUCCAGUAUGAUUUCAGAUAUUCUAAUUAUCCGAAUCUAUUCGGUCUGAAAAAUUAUUGAUUUGAAAGCGUUUAAGGAUUGAAUCUCACUUUCGUGGAAGGGUCUCUCAGCUCCAGUGAAAUACUUAUAUUGGAUACCAUAAAUGUUUGAAUUGUAAGAUGCGCAAUAGAUCAUGACUAGAAAACUUGUUUAGUUUUGAUAUGUUUUCGUCAGAGACCUCCAAAGAAUCUAAUGACAAAAUUGAUGUGUCAUGGAGAAUGGAUCAAUUCUGAUUCCAGUUCAGAGGUCAGUACUGUUGAUCAACACCAAUUUUUUCGCUCUUCUGACGUCGGGUGUAUCUCGUUUUCCACAUAAGCCUGGAAAACGCAUGGAGCUAUGUGAAGAACAGGGCUCACAAGAAAUAGAGAUACGCCGCUACAUCAGAGGAGCGAUGAUUAUGGUUGCAAAAUUGAUCAGGUGAUCGAGGAAAAAUACCGAACAAAUUCAAAAAUAGGUGUAGAUCCUGUCUUCCCAAUAAAAUUUUUUCAAUGCUAGAUCGUCUAUUCAAUGCAGUUUCUGGCCCAUUGGCCAAGCGAAUUCCUCCUCAUUAAAAAAUGACACCUGGAUUUAUUUAAACUUUCGUCAGCAGGGUGUCCACAAGUCCGAAAAAUAGUACUGAUUUUUUAAGGGUGGUCCGAAAGUACUGAAAAAGUGUGGAAAUUCUGCAAAAAGGUCCGGAAUUGGUUUACUUUUUUGUCAUUUUGUUGCAUUUUCAAAUUUUGAAAUUUUUUUGAUUUCGUCAAAUGGAGAUGGUACUGAAAAAGUUCGAAUUUUUCUAUUGGAGGAGGGUACUGAAUUUCUCGAGUAUGUACUGAAAAAGUACUGUUUAAGUACUUAUUUUGACAAGCCUGUUUUAGUAGACACUCUGGUCGGGAAAUAUUCCAUUCCGUUUCGUCCUCGUCUAUUGGAUUCAACUCUCGGGCUUUUUGUUCCAUUGUUUAAAGUUUCUCUUCAACCGUAUCUUUUUAAUUUUUCAGGAUAAGUUUUCUCCUCCGAGUGAACUAGAACGAAGCAAAAGCGUAAGCGAAUCAGAAAUGAGACGAAGACUGAUAGACGGCCUAGCUCCGCCUGUUCCUCCUCUACCUCUUAACUACUCCCUUCAACCACUUAACACUACCAACCGUCCAUCUGGUGAGAAUAUUUCUGCAUUUACCUAACUAUUUGAUAUGCAAGCUGAUCAUUGAGUUAAUAGACAAAGGAAACACAGGAAAAUGAAGCGAUCCUAUUCUGCCGUGCUAAGGAAGAAUGCUGUAUGAGCGUUUAGGCAUAGCCAUAUUUCCUCAAUAAAAGACGAAUCCACUGGAAAAAUUAUGAAUAUUUCUCCUCCAAUUUUUCAGACAAUUUUGUUCUCAAUUUAAUUUUAAAUAUCUGAGAAUGUCAAGGGAAAAUAUGCAUAACUUUCUCCACAAUGAGAAAAAAAACUAAGAAAUGGCCCGAAUACUGUAUGUAACAAGGUGGAGAAGGGGUGCUGGGUCCACACCAUUUAGCAGGGAAAAAAGGCAAGAAGUUCCAAAAAUCGAAAUUCGAGUCAAAAUUAAAAUCUUUUUAACUCUAAUGAGUACCAGUACACAACUAAGGAAGGGGGGAGAGUUCUCCACAAAUACAUGCUUUAUUCGGGGAAAUUUGGCAACCCUCGAAUGUCCAUACAGCGUUCUUCCUUAGCACGAAAGUAUUGGUGGAAGUGGGUGGUUGCGAUGCGGACAAAUG
rnacentral:lncRNA from 1 species